rnacentral:rRNA from 1 species
UCCUACGGGAGGCAGCAGUGGGGAAUUUUGCGCAAUGGGGGAAACCCUGACGCAGCAACGCCGCGUGCGGGACGAAGGCCCUCGGGUCGUAAACCGCUUUCAGCAGGGAAGAGACAGACGGUACCUGCAGAAGAAGCCCCGGCUAACUACGUGCCAGCAGCCGCGGUAAUACGUAGGGGGCGAGCGUUAUCCGGAUUCAUUGGGCGUAAAGCGCGCGCAGGCGGACCGUUAAGCGGGACCUCUAAUCCUGGGGCUCAACCUCAGGCCGGGUCCCGAACUGGCGGUCUCGAGUGCGGUAGGGGAGG